AGCACGGGAGCAAUCCUGGUGGCGAGUGGCGAACGGGUGAGUAAUGUAUCGGAACGUACCUUUCAGUGGGGGAUAACGUAGCGAAAGUUACGCUAAUACCGCAUAUUCUGUGAGCAGGAAAGCAGGGGAUCGCAAGACCUUGCGCUGAUUGAGCGGCCGAUAUCAGAUUAGCUAGUUGGUGAGGUAAAGGCUCACCAAGGCGACGAUCUGUAGCGGGUCUGAGAGGAUGAUCCGCCACACUGGAACUGAGACACGGUCCAGACUCCUACGGGAGGCAGCAGUGGGGAAUUUUGGACAAUGGGGGCAACCCUGAUCCAGCCAUGCCGCGUGAGUGAAGAAGGCCUUCGGGUUGUAAAGCUCUUUCAGCCGGGAAGAAAUCACAUGGGUUAAUACCCUGUGUGGAUGACGGUACCGGAAUAAGAAGCACCGGCUAACUACGUGCCAGCAGCCGCGGUAAUACGUAGGGUGCGAGCGUUAAUCGGAAUUACUGGGCGUAAAGCGUGCGCAGGCGGUUUGUUAAGAUAGGCGUGAAAUCCCCGGGCUCAACCUGGGAACUGCGUUUAUGACUGGCAGGCUAGAGUAUGGCAGAGGGGGGUGGAAUUCCACGUGUAGCAGUGAAAUGCGUAGAGAUGUGGAGGAACACCGAUGGCGAAGGCAGCCCCCUGGGCCAAUACUGACGCUCAUGCACGAAAGCGUGGGUAGCAAACAGGAUUAGAUACCCUGGUAGUCCACGCCCUAAACGAUGUCAACUAGGUGUUGGGUGGGUAAAACCAUUUAGUACCGGAGCUAACGCGUGAAGUUGACCGCCUGGGGAGUACGGC
rnacentral:rRNA from 1 species